rnacentral:lncRNA from 1 species
AUGGUUCUUGAGGAUAGCUUUUGCCAUUCCUUUGGAAAGCAGUCUGCAAUGCUUUCUUUCAGUACCAAGGAUAGGGCUUCUACUUCUCUGGGGUCUUGGGUUGCUUCAUUUAGCAGUCUGAGGUUAGAUGUUGCAUUCAUUUUGGCUUUCCAGGAGGAUGCUUCAGGCUCAGAGGUUCUCUCAGAUCAACCUCCCUGGUGGGCUUCCCAAAGAAAAGGAGGCAUGAUCUUCUGGAUCUCCUUUACAACCCUCGUAAAGAGCCUGCCAUCACAGCCACAACCACAGCCACAGCCACCACCACCACCCAGGCCAACUGAUUAAUUACUACUGAUGGUCAGGUAAGCCCAGCAGAAUCCUGGGAGCAGCACCCUCCGCCCCACUUCAGCCCCCUAGACUUUGUUUCUAACCUGCCAAAUGGUUCACUAUCAGAAGAUGAUACGGUUCUAUUAAUAGAAACAAUAUUAAAGAAGAUACAUUACCAUCUCCUUUGCACCCAAAGCACCUUUCUAUGUGUCAUGCAGAUGCAAUGUCCUAUGUAUGCUAUCUUUCCUUGUGAGAAUGGUGACACUUUGAGAACAGGGACCAUCUUCCUUUUCUAUUUGCAGCUCCCACACAGCACAGAGCUAAGCACAUAGUAAAAUGUUUACUAAUUCAUUUCCUCCACCCCACCUCCAUCCUAGAAUUGGGAGUAGUAGUAAAGGGAAUGUUAUCACUUGGCCUUUUGGCUAAGAUCAAAUGCAGUAAAGGGCGUGUUGUUUAGUCAUUUUAGUAGCGUCUGAAUCUUCAUGAUUCCAUUUGGGGUUUUCUUGGCAAAGAUAUUAGAAUGGUUUACUAUUUCCUUCUCCAGAUCAUUUUAUAGAUAAGAGAACUAAGGCAGAGACCAGUGACUUGCCCAGGGUCACACAAUUAGGAGUAUGAGGCUAGAUUUGAACUUAGGAAGAAGAAUCUUCCUUACUCCAUUCCUGGUACCUUAUCCACUGUGUCACCUAACUACCCUUAGGGAGGAAGGGUAGAGACUCACAUACACAUAUACAGACAUCCCUGAUAUGAUUUCAAAGCACCAUAUUGACAAAUAAAUCUAGUAUACCUGCCCUUCUCCCA